rnacentral:lncRNA from 1 species
UUCGUUUUCUACGAUCGGGAGUUGGUCCAUCUCACCCUUAUCGGACUCUGGUUGAUGACUGUAUCUCUUUUGUCAGAGAAGGCUGGGUUUGUGAGGUCAGAUAUACAUUUCGGGAGGGAAACUGAUGCGCGGAUUUUUAGCAAAUUUUGGUCAAGUUUGUCGCCUCCUCCGGAUUUAUUGCCUCUCUUGGAGGCAGAUAGAUAUGGUCACUAUAUCCUGAGAUCUUAACCGGCA